rnacentral:lncRNA from 1 species
CGCUUGGCAGUCAGUCAGCUUCAAGCUUUCGGUGGACGAUGUUGCGCCCUUCUCGGUGGACCCCAAGCGGUGCUGCGACUUGCCUCAGUCAGACAGUAGUGUCCGGUGCGUGUGUAUGUGUGACUCCGUAUGUGUGUGCACUCUUUGGCACCUAAUUCUGGCGCUGGAAAACGAGAAUAAAAAACGGAAGAAGGAUACUGCUGUUUCCCGAGAAAGGUGUCGGCAGCCCACCCAUUAAAGGAUAACUGUUGCUGCUAUCGAGGAAAGCUUGUGCGAAGACCGGAAGAAGAGAGUGUCCACGAUUUUCUGUUUUUCGCACUGACUGGAGCGGAAAUUCGGGGUAGACGACCGAAACGCACGAUUGGCGCGUAUUUUCUAAUUCGUUUCCAGUUCCGGCAGCCGGCAGUUGGCGGUGGCAAUCAGUGAAAAAAUGUGGCGAUCGCUUUGCGUGUGACUUUUUCGCGCGGUUUUCUUUUGUGCACGGGGGGUGGUGAUUUGAAUGUAAUGAGCGUGGGCUGCCUUUCUGUCGAAUGUGUGGUUGAAUGGCGUGGGAAAAUCGCGAUUAGUGACGGUCAGAUAAGUAGUGGAGCUUUUCGGGUGCCCUGUUGGCGUUAAUUGGUGGUGAUUUGUGACAUGGGGAGAUUGUUUUUGAUGUGAAAUAGUUUAGAUUGUGUAGGAGAGAUGUGUUAAUUCAAUGUUGAAAAUCGAUAAAUUUAUUGUGAAAAUAAGUGUAAGCCGUUGAUGUUUGAUGUUGGUGUAAGAGUUCUAUCACGCAAUCAUAAGUGAAAUAUCAUAGUUUUAUGGAAGUUUGUGAUUAGGAGAAUAUAAUGGUGUGACUGCUAAAUGAACUUGAGCAAUUCAUAAUCCAACAUCAAUCAGUUGAAAUAUUGACACCAUGCUUCAUCAAGCGUUUCAUUGGAAACCAUCGGUUUGAUAUGGAUUUUUUUGUGUGAACCAGAACUCAAUCGUCGCCAGGAGCGUACUUUCAGCAACAAAAAAAAACUUUCAACACUUGCCAAAGCAAUAUCACAGUAAAAGCGGUUUACCGGAAAUGCCGUUUCCAUCGUGAAGCUUCGAGUGGGUGCAGGAAAGGGGGUAAAUGUUUUGCAGCACCUGAAAUGCAACGGCACCAAAUCAAUCGGGUCGGAAAAUUGUAAUUGUACGAUUUGAGAACGAGCGGAAGUGCAAAAAGUGUGUUACACACCUGAACCCAGGGCGCUGAAUCAAAGGGGAAUUGGUCCCAACAACUACGGAAUCCUGAAUCACGACCAACCCAGUUUGACGUUGAAAAUCUCGAAGUGGAAAAAAAAAAUGUUUGAAAAAUGAAUUCCAAUAUCGACAAGUUUGACGGACAAUCAUCAGCAGCUGCACCGCAGUCCGGCAGGAAGAACUCAAAGUGAUAACGAUCAUCAUCAUCAUCAUCGGAAGUGAGAAGUUGCUACCAAAUAGGAGAAGUUUUUCCCAGUGAAGAAAGUUUGGCUGGCGGUCUCCUGAGUAGAGGAAUUGGUGCAGUUUUUCUGCGGGGGCUUAAGACCGGCUGUGGUCACUUUUUUUUCUGUGUGGAAGAUUUGCUAAAGUUGUGUAACUGGCACUUUGUUUGGGUGGGAUUUUUCCGGUUCAGUAGUUAGCCGGUGAAUUUGGUGAAGUUUUUGGUUUUGUGCUCGAGAAAAAAAAACCACUAAGAAGAUAGCGAGGGACAUCCUUCAAGGGUCGGAACCUUAUUUGCAUCGACUUUUGACGAGCUUUUCCAUCGACUGCAGUAGCAGCAACAUCAUCAUCAAACAGCUGGCAGGCAGCACAGAGGCAAUUUUCGGAAUGGACAUGGAUAUCAUCGACAUCCGGACGUUGGGAUAUCUUUCCAGCACUAGCACGGUGAGUUAUUUUAUGAGUUGGGUUCU